rnacentral:rRNA from 1 species
AGCGAACGCUGGCGGCAGGCCUAACACAUGCAAGUCGAACGAACUCUUCGGAGUUAGUGGCGGACGGGUGAGUAACACGUGGGAACGUGCCUUUAGGUUCGGAAUAACUCAGGGAAACUUGUGCUAAUACCGAAUGUGCCCUUCGGGGGAAAGAUUUAUCGCCUUUAGAGCGGCCCGCGUCUGAUUAGCUAGUUGGUGGGGUAAUGGCCCACCAAGGCGACGAUCAGUAGCUGGUCUGAGAGGAUGGCCAGCCACAUUGGGACUGAGACACGGCCCAAACUCCUACGGGAGGCAGCAGUGGGGAAUCUUGCGCAAUGGGCGAAAGCCUGACGCAGCCAUGCCGCGUGGAUGAUGAAGGUCUUAGGAUUGUAAAAUCCUUUCACCGGUGAAGAUAAUGACUGUAGCCGGAGAAGAAGCCCCGGCUAACUUCGUGCCAGCCGCCGCAGUAACAC